AUCUAAGUACCCCGAGGAGAAGAAAUCAACCGAGAUUCCGAUAGUAGCGGCGAGCGAAAUUGGAUUAGCCCUUAAGCUUUACAUGCGUCAGGUGAAGGUUCUGGAAAGGACCGCGAAACAGGGUGAUAGCCCCGUAGCCGACAGCGCAUGUUCAGUGAAAUCGAGUAGGGCGGGACACGUGUUAUCCUGUCUGAAUAUGGGGGGACCAUCCUCCAAGGCUAAAUACUCCUGACUGACCGAUAGUGAACCAGUACCGUGAGGGAAAGGCGAAAAGAACCCCUGUGAGGGGAGUGAAAUAGAACCUGAAACCGUGUACGUACAAGCAGUAGGAGCCUCUUCGUGGGGUGACUGCGUACCUUUUGUAUAAUGGGUCAGCGACUUAUAUUCAGUGGCAAGGUUAACCAUUUAGGGGAGCCGUAGGGAAACCGAGUCUUAACUGGGCGUUCAGUCUCUGGAUAUAGACCCGAAACCGGGUGAUCUAGCCAUGGGCAGGUUGAAGGUUGAGUAACAUCAACUGGAGGACCGAACCGACUAAUGUUGAAAAAUUAGCGGAUGACUUGUGGCUAGGGGUGAAAGGCCAAUCAAACUCGGAGAUAGCUGGUUCUCCCCGAAAGCUAUUUAGGUAGCGCCUCGGACGAAUACUACUGGGGGUAGAGCACUGUUAAGGCUAGGGGGUCAUCCCGACUUACCAACCCUUUGCAAACUCCGAAUACCAGUAAGUACUAUCCGGGAGACACACGGCGGGUGCUAACGUCCGUCGUGGAGAGGGAAACAACCCAGACCGCCAGCUAAGGUCCCAAAUUACAGCUAAGUGGGAAACGAUGUGGGAAGGCUCAGACAGCUAGGAUGUUGGCUUAGAAGCAGCCAUCAUUUAAAGAAAGCGUAAUAGCUCACUAGUCGAGUCGGCCUGCGCGGAAGAUGUAACGGGGCUAAGCUGUAAACCGAAGCUGCGGCAAUGCGAUUUAUCGUAUUGGGUAGGGGAGCGUUCUGUAAGCCGUUGAAGGUGUGUUGUAAAGCAUGCUGGAGGUAUCAGAAGUGCGAAUGCUGACAUGAGUAACGACAAGGGGGGUGAAAAACCUCCCCGCCGGAAGACCAAGGGUUCCUGUCCAACGUUAAUCGGGGCAGGGUAAGUCGACCCCUAAGGCGAGGCCGAAAGGCGUAGUCGAUGGGAAACGGGUUAAUAUUCCCGUACUUCUUACAAUUGCGAUGGGGGGACGGAGAAGGCUAGGUGGGCCUGGCGACGGUUGUCCAGGUUCAAGUGCGUAGGCUUGAGGGUUAGGUAAAUCCGGCUCUCUUUAAGGCUGAGACACGACGUCGAGCUACUACGGUAGUGAAGUCAUUGAUGCCAUGCUUCCAGGAAAAGCCUCUAAGCUUCAGAUUGUAAGGAAUCGUACCCCAAACCGACACAGGUGGUCGGGUAGAGAAUACCAAGGCGCUUGAGAGAACUCGGGUGAAGGAACUAGGCAAAAUGGUACCGUAACUUCGGGAGAAGGUACGCUCUUGAUGGUGAAGUCCCUCGCGGAUGGAGCUGAUGAGAGUCGCAGAUACCAGGUGGCUGCAACUGUUUAUUAAAAACACAGCACUGUGCAAAAUCGUAAGAUGACGUAUACGGUGUGACGCCUGCCCGGUGCCGGAAGGUUAAUUGAUGGGGUUAGCGUAAGCGAAGCUCUUGAUCGAAGCCCCGGUAAACGGCGGCCGUAACUAUAACGGUCCUAAGGUAGCGAAAUUCCUUGUCGGGUAAGUUCCGACCUGCACGAAUGGCGUAAUGAUGGCCACGCUGUCUCCACCCGAGACUCAGUGAAAUUGAAAUCGCUGUGAAGAUGCAGUGUACCCGCGGCUAGACGGAAAGACCCCGUGAACCUUUACUACAGCUUGGCACUGAACAUUGAACCUACAUGUGUAGGA
rnacentral:rRNA from 1 species